UGGGAAAAGGUGUUUUCUUCUAGGGAAUG
rnacentral:piRNA from 1 species